rnacentral:misc_RNA from 1 species
GAAAUGCGAUAAGUAGUGUGAAUUGCAGAAUUCAGUGAAUCAUCGAAUCUUUGAACGCACAUUGCGCCCCUUGGUAUUCCAUGGGGCAUGCCUGUUCGAGCGUCAUUUGUACCCUCAAGCUCUGCUUGGUGUUGGGUGUUUGUCCCGUCUCCGCGCGUGGACUCGCCCCAAAGUGAUUGGCAGCCGGCGUACUGGUCCCGGAGCGCAGCACAUGUCGCGCAAACGAGUGCCUUGGUACGGCGGCGUCCAUAAGCCCCUCUCUCACGCUCUUGACCUCCGAUCAGGUAGGGAUACCCGCUGAACUUAAGC